rnacentral:rRNA from 1 species
AACGAACGCUGGCGGCAUGCCUAACACAUGCAAGUCGAACGAACCCUUCGGGGUUAGUGGCGCACGGGUGCGUAACGCGUGGGAACCUACCAUCAGGUUCGGAAUAACAGUUAGAAAUGACUGCUAAUACCGGAUAAUGUCUUCGGACCAAAGAUUUAUCGCCUUUUGAUGGGCCCGCGUAAGAUUAGGUAGUUGGUGGGGUAAAAGCCUACCGAGCCGACGAUCUUUAGCUGGUCUGAGAGGAUGAUCAGCCACACUGGGACUGAGACACGGCCCAGACUCCUACGGGAGGCAGCAGUGGGGAAUAUUGGACAAUGGGCGAAAGCCUGAUCCAGCAAUGCCGCGUGAGUGAUGAAGGCCUUAGGGUUGUAAAGCUCUUUUACCAGGGAUGAUAAUGACAGUACCUGGAGAAUAAGCUCCGGCUAACUCCGUG